ACCGCCCCCCCCUUUCUUUUGGGCCGAAGCCGUAGCCGAAUCCGAGCCCUUCCGACACAUUAACCAAAACCAUGACCCAACCCCCUCCUUCCGGUCCCGGCCCGCUUCCUUUUCGGUUCCCUCCUAUCCCUUAUCCCUUUCCCAUCCCCGGCGAUAUCAUCGCCUCGACCGCUUCACUCGCUCCUCAUCGCCGACGCUCUCUCUUUUAUCUUCUCUUUCUAUUCCCCUCCUUCCCCUUCCCCUCUCUUCUUCUCAUUUCUCAUGGGGGAUCUCACCGAUUCUCUCACCCCUUCCUCUGCUAACUCUCGCCAAGUUCCCAUUCGUGAGGAUUGCUGGAGCGAGGACGCUACCUCCACUCUCAUCGACGCUUGGGGUCGCCGUUUUCUCGAGCUCAAUCGUGGCAAUCUCCGUCAGAAAGACUGGCAGGAUGUUGCCGAUUCUGUUAACUCUCUCCAUGGUCUUACCAAGAAAACCCAUCGUACCGAUGUUCAGUGUAAGAACCGGAUCGACACCGUUAAGAAGAAGUACAAGACCGAGAGGGCUAGGGUUUCUGCUUCCCACGGAAAUUUUGUUUCCUCUUGGCCCUUUUAUGCUCGUCUCGACGAACUCAUUGGUCCUACUGUUUCUAUGAAGAAACCCUCUUCUCCUCCUAUGGCUCUUCCUUUGCCCUUUCGUAAGACGCCUCCCCCUUCCGCUGCUGCUACUCCCGCCGUCGUUGCUGUCUCUCAGAAGCGGACUGCUUCUGCCAUGGACGAUGGCUAUUUCCGGAGGAAUUACUCGGCUAUGGCGGCCGCUGCUGCUGCCGCUGCAUUGACGGAGGAAGAGGAGGAGGAGGAGGAGGAGGAGGAGGAGGAGAGAGUGAGCGACGAUGAGGAGGCGGAAGGGGAAGGCAUUAGUCGGUUGGCAAGAGCGAUUAAAAGGUUUGGGGAGGUGUAUGAAAGAGUGGAGGCAGAGAAGGUGCGACAGAUGGUGGAAUUGGAGAAGCAGAGGAUGCAAUUUGCCAAGGAUUUGGAAGUGCAGCGGAUGCAUAUGUUUAUGGAGACCCAGGUUCAGCUUGAGAGGAUUAAGCGAGGGAAGAAAUCAACUCCCAGUGGACUAGAAAAUUUGUUCUCAAGUUUCAAUGUUGCUUCUAGCAUGACUAUGUUUGGGCUUGGAAUGUUUGGGGAGGAUGUCUCCAAGGUCUUGGACGCAAGCCUCUAGGUGAAAAGCUCGAGGAAAAAUUUGGAGUGCAUGAUGUCUUCCCGUAGAUUAAUGGCAGUGGGGGGGCCCUAACUAAUAGCAUUGGUAUCAAAAGGAAAAAGGAAAGAGAGUACUUAAAGGAUGAUUCCUUCCUCAAGAUAUGCUAUUGGUUCAUGUCGUUCUGUAUCAAUAUCUAGAGGUAGCCAUGUGAAGGAAUAACAGAAAAACUUCGUAAGGUACAUACAGAUGGAAGCUGAUAUUGUCGAGGAGAUGAUAAACACUUCUAAUUUUAAAUUCUCAAAGGAGUUUGAAUUUAAUUUGUGAAGUUAGCUAAGGCCAACCCCCCAUCCCCUCUCCUUGUAGGGAAGUUAGGACAACCUUUUUAGAUGUGAAAGCUAAUUUAAGACAACCUUUUUAUCUUCUACUUGUGAGAAUUAGCGUGGUGUAAUUCAGCUUCUUAAAAUAUCUUAAUGCGACGUUUUUAAAGAUUCAGUUGGGAAAGCUAAUCUUGUAUGAAAAUGAAUGUUACUUUUCUGGUGGGUAUGAAGUUUUCCCCUCUUCUCAUGUGGUGUAA